GUGUGUGUGUGUGUGUGUGUGUAUAACAUUGUAGCCAUUAAUGUAUUGAUGGACACUUAAGUUUUUUCCACCUUUUGGUAUCGUGAAUAAUGCUGCAAUGAAUACUGAAUAAUUAAUAUUACAAUAGAGGCAUAAGUCUCUGCUCAAGUCCUUGCUUUCAUAACUUUUGAGUAUAUACAUUGGAGUAUAAUUGCUUGGUCACAUGGUAAUUCUGCAUUUAACAUUUUGAAGAGCCACCAAACUUUUCCACAGCUACUACAACAUUUUGUAUUCCCAUUGGCAAUGUCCGAGGGCUGAAAAUUCUCUACAUCCUUACCAACACUUGUUAUUCAAAAAAAAAAAAAAAAUGUAUAGGGGUGCCAUAUGGCUCAGUCAGUUGAGUGACCACUUCUUGGUUUAGGCUUAUGUCAUGAUCUCACAGUUGUGAGAUUGAGCCCCAUGUCAGGCUCUGUGCUGAAAGCACAGAAUCUGCUUGGGAUUUUCUCUUUCCCUCUCUCUCUGCCCCUCCCCACCCCCACAUGUGUGUCCAUCCUUUUUCUCAAAAUAAAUAAAUAAAAUAAAAUAAAAAAUGUAUAGCCAUUCUAGUAGGUGUGACAUUGUAUCUUAUUAUGGUUUUGAUUUGAUUUUCCCUAAUGACUAAUGACGUUGAGCGUCUUUUCAUGUGCUUAUUGACCAUUUGUUUAUCUUUAGAGAAAUGUCUGUUCAAGUCUGCUGCCUAUUUUUUAAAUUGUUCAUAAAUUUAGUAUACUUUUGAAUCUAUUAUGGUGGCCAGUGUGGCUGUAGCAUAUUGAUCAAGGAUAAGAAUGGAACAAAGAGAGAUUGAAUUGGCAUUCAGAAAAUGCAAUGCAGCUUUGUAGGCUACAGAUAUGACCAUAAAAGCAAAAAGGAAAUAAUUGAAAUGUUUAAAAUAUGUCCCAUUUUGUGCAUGGAAAGACCAGUACAGUAGUCAUAUUGCCAGUAGAGGAGAUGCAAGAAUAGGUUCAAGAAAUCAUAUAUGGAAGCUAUGGCACUAGUCCAGGCAAGAAGAUGAUGGUAGCUUAGAUGACAUUGGUAGAGAAGAGAUGAUGUUUAUGCGACAUUGUUCUCUGAACAGGAGGUAUAUGCAGAACCACCUCCAAAGGCUGAAGGAACUCAAAGACUAAAGAAAAAGGCUGACAAAUCCAGCUUGAUGAGGGUGUCUUUGGUAGCUGCAAGAGGAGUAGAUCUCUGCAACAACCAUCUCCCUUAAGGCCUGCUUUUAUCGCCCUAGAGGUUGGGGAGUACAUGUUAGAGGCCAUCCAAGAGGAAAAUGUUUAAGAAUGGGUGUGUGUCAUGGGACAUCUGGGUGGCUCAGUUGGUUAAGCAUCCAACUUCAGCUCAGGUCAUGAUCUCACAAUUCCUGAGUUCGAGCCCCGCAUCGGGCUCUGUGCUCACAGCUCAGAGCUUAGAGCCUGCUUUGGAUUCUGUGUCUCCCUCUCUGUCUGCCCCAUCCCCACUCAUGCUCUGUCUCUCUGUCUUAAAAGUAAAUAAAACAUUAAAAAAAAAAUUAAAAAAAAAAAAAGAAUAGGUGUGUGUCAGUCAUAUCUCCAAGACAGAUCAUAUCAUGGACGUUAUAUCCUAAGGAUGUACUUAAAAGUGUGAUUUGUUUUUUAAUGUUUAUUUAUUUUUGAGACAGAGAAAGACAGAGCAUGAACGGGGAAGGGUCAGAGAGAGGGAGACACAGAAUCCGAAGCAGGCUCCAGGCUCCGAGCUGUCAGCACAGAGCCCAAUAUGGAACUCAAACUCACGGAGUGUGAGAUCAUGACCUGAGCUGAAGUCGGAUGCUUAACCGACUGAGCCACCCAGGUGUUCCAAAAGUGUGAUUAAACAAAAGGAAAGAGUGUGUGUGUGUGUGUGUGUGUGUGUGUGUGUGCGGGUAUUUACGGCAGAUUGUCCAAGAUGGCAUUGAUUCAGUUCACACAGAUUUUUUUUUUAAUUUUUUUUAAUGCUUAUUUAUUUUUGAGAGAAAGAGAGAGACAGACAGAGUGAGAGUGGGGAAGGUGCAGACAGAGAGGGAGACACAGAUUCUGAAGCGGGCUCCAGGCUGUCAGCCCAGAGCCCGAUGUGGGGCUUGAACUCAACAAAUGGUGAGAUCAUGACCUGAGCUGAAGUCAGACACUUAACCAGUUGAGCCACCCAGGUGCCCCGGUUCACACAGAUGUUGGUUUUUUUGUUUUUUGUUUUUUAAUUUUUUUAAUGUUUAUUUAUUUUUGACAGAGAGACAGAGCAUGAGCGGGGGAGGGGCAGAGAGAGAGGGAGACACAGAAUCCGAAGCAGGCUCUAGGCUCUGAAGGGUCAGCACAGAGCCCAGCGCGGGGCUUGAACUCACAGAUGGCAAGAUCAUGACCUGAGCCAAAGUCCGACACUCAGCCAACUGAGCCACCCAGGCGCCCCCACACAGAUGUUUUUAAACUAUAAUUGACAUGACUUGCUAGCAGAGUAGGUGUGUGAAGAUCAAGGAAAUGGAGGAUACAGUCUGAGGAAUAAUUCCCAGGUUUUUAGGUUAAAUUAAAAAAAAUUUUUUUUAAUUAAAAAAAAAUUCUAGAUAAAGAUUGACAUUUAUGACUUUGGUACUGUGAAUUAUUUCAAAUAAAAUACAAAGAAUACAAAUGAACAUUUUAAAACAUUUUUUUAACAUAUAUUUAUUAUAUUAUUGAGAGACAGAGACAGAGCAUGAGUGCGGGAGGGGCAGAGAAAAAGGGAGACACAGAAUCUGAAGCAGGCUCCAGGCUCUGAGCUGUCAGCACAGGGCCCAACGUGGGGCUCGAACUCUAUAACCAGGAGAUCAUGACCUGAGCCAAAGUCAGACGCUCAACCGACUGAGCCACCCAGGCGCCCCACAAAUGAACUUUUAAAAAAUGGAUGACUUGGGGUACAUUAAAAUGAAAAAAUGCCUGUAUAUAAACCAAAUGAGAAGAUAAACCAGAGAUUGAGAGAAGAUAUUUACAUCACAUGUAUCCACCAAUAAUGAACAUCCAGAACGUCAAAGAACUCACAUAAUUCAAUAAAGAAAAGACAAGCAUCUCAACAGAAAAGUGGACAAAAGAUAUAAAUAAGCAGUCUACAGAAGAGAAACCUGGGGGCUCUUGGGUGGCUCAGUCAGUUAAGUGUCCAAUUUCAGGUCAGGUUCAUGAGUUCGUGCCCCACAUUGAGUUCUGUGCUGACAGCUCAGAACCUGGAACAUGCUUCAGAUUCUCUGUUCCUCUCCUGCUUGUGCGCACAUGCUCUGUCUCUGUCUCUC